UUGGACCUGAUAUCAGACAAGACU
rnacentral:rRNA from 2 species